AUGAAGUGUCCCCAACUAAGCAAGCCAGAGGCGACAGCGGCAAGGAACCAAAACUCCAUCAGUGACAGAAUGGAGAAAAAAACCUUGGGAGAAACCAGGCUCAGUCGGGGGGCCAGUUCUCCUCUGGCCAGACGAAACCAGCAGUUCAAUUCCAGGCUGCAGCAAAGUCAGAUUGUGCAGAGGAAUCAUCUGUUUCCUGUGGUCUUGUCCCGGUGGUCGUCUGAGACAAGGUCUUUACGGGGAUCUGUCUCUGGGGCUCUAGUCCUGGAGGUCGACCGAUAUAUACUAAAGGUCGACCGAUAUAUCGUUCGGCCGAUAUAUCGGGCCGAUAUUUGUCAUUUUUUUUAUAUAUUCGGCAUGCGGUGGAAAGUGCUGCUGCCGCAUGUGAAGGACCCCAAGCCAAAACUUUUGGAAGAUUCAACAACAGUCCUGGGAGAUAAAGGUAGUCAGAGAAUUUCACUCUGUAAAUGAGGUGGAGUAGGUGGCAGUUCUCACAAACACUGCAGCGUGAUUGAGGGCUCCAUUACUCCGCCCCGCUCACAGACAGCACCGUGCUCGGAGAGACAGCUGUCCUGGAGCAGCACAGAACGGUGAAUGACAUUUGUUCGGAAGCAUGGUUUGAUGCAGACAAUAGCCAGCUUUCCAUCCAACUCCUUUGCAUUUAGGGAUGUCAAUAUUUGAUCAUUUCCAUGAUCGAUUGUCGUUUAAAUUAACAAUCAAUGAAUAAGCUUAAUGCUGCAAAAUGCAUCUGCAGCGGUGGUAUUAUUACGUGCAAAAGCCACUCGGAAAAAAAGCUUUCUCACCCGAAUUAAAGGGGUUUUAGUCUGAAUAAAAUGCUAGUAGCAGGACUGUAAAAUGAAUAUGUGAUUAUGAUCAUUUGAUAAAAUGAAGGGAGCGUGCUGUACAUUUGCUCGUUGUUGUAUUUUAAAACAGCAAUUGCAAUGUUUUCAAAUGACACUAUAGAUUAAAAAUAAAAUUAUCCCAAACGUAACUGUGGCGCAUGUGGCUGUGCUGCGCAGUCAGUGAACCGCUUUUUUCACAUUAAACAUUUUAUGCGAGUAUUAAUGACCAGUACUUUAUUUGAUCCUGUUCUGCAAAAUGUUCGAUUUUGAAUUUUUGCAUUCCGGUAGGCCUAUUUGUUUUAAAAAAAUCCGGCAUUUACAGUGCAUUAGAUCGUGACAGUGCAUGCAUGCGUGCAGACGAGGACGAGCGCGCGCGGGUUUGGCUAGAUGUAUUGGAGGUUGUUGCUCACGUCUCGUUCUGACAGAUAUCCGAAUGUUCCAUAUUCGCAAUGUAUCUGAAUGUUAAAAGUACUUUAUUUGAUCCUGUUCUGCAAAUGUUCGAUUUUGAAUUUUUGCAUUCCGGUAGGCAUAUUUGUUUUAAAAAGUCCUGCAUCUACAGUGCAUUAGAUCGUGACAGUGCAUGCGUGCGUGCAGACAAGGACGAGCGAGCGCGGGUUUGGCUAGAUGUAUUUGGAGGUUGUUGCUCACGUCUCGUUCUGCACAUAUCCAAAUGUUUCCAUAUUCGCAAUGUAUCUGAAUGUUAAACUAUAAUAUAUUUUUUUUUAAAUGUAAACUAAACGGAAAAGAUUCAUCCUCUUCACAUGAGCAAAAACGUCCUUGGCAUAACAGCAGAGUGGACCGGUAUACUACGGUCUAUUUAAACUGACCAGUGUAACCUUUUAUAUGUUUGGUUGACUGUACUUAAUCUUAAUAAUGAACAGACUGCGAUGUAAACAAGCCACAACAGUAAUGAAAACAUAGGACCGCAACACAACAAAAUUAGCACAACACAAUGGAAACAAGCCACAACAGAAUGAAAACAUGCCGCAACACAACAAAAUUAGCACAACACAAUGAAAACAAGCCACAACACAACGAAAUUAGCGCAACACAAUGGAAACAAGCCACAACAGAAUGAAAACAUGCCGCAGCACAACAAAAUUAGCACAACAGAAACUGAAAACAUGCCGUAACACAAUAAAAUCAUAUUCUUAACUACAAUUUCAAAGCCCUAAUGACAAAUAACUUAAUGUGCUACAAGCUGUUCUGAAAUGCCACCAUCAGUGAGCAAGUGAAAAACAAGCAGAUAUGUGAGUCAGUGGAACAGUAAAGUGGUCUCAAUGUAAUACCUCAUACAGUCUGAUGUGACACUAUGUCCUUUAAUUAAUCUAACUACCUGACUGGAGUCAUUAGCCUGUACUCACCGGGAGUGGUGAAGCAGUGGCUGCAAUGAUAUUCCUAUACCACCACACUGACUGCCAGCUGUCAUAACCUUUAAGAGACCUUCAGGUGUGAAGACUGUAGAGCAGAGGUUCAGUAAACAUGCUAACCCUGUAGUGAUGAUCACACAUCACAUUCCUAAUGAAGACUUGGAUCAAAGAGGGAUAUUCAGCAGUUCUUGCCAUUACCAGGACAUUUGCUGCUCAAAACAGAACAGUUCUCCAGACUUCAAAGCACCUUCAAGAGGUGGGGAUCAUCUUAUUCAUCACAGGUUGCCCAUUCAAAAUUAUUCAGCCACAAAGAAAGAGAACAGUUCAUAAAAACCUGUGGCUAGACUCCCUUCAUUUAGUUUCUUAACAUCUUUCUUAUAGUCACAAUGAAACAGAAGUAUUGACAGAUAUUUUCUUUCACAUGGUGACAUACAUCUGAGUGUAACAGAUUACUGAACAAUAAAAAACAUAAAGUGGUUGGUUCUAUAUAUCAGUUGUUAACUGAAUUUUGAGAUGAUAGUGUUGCACCCAAAAACGAAUGAGAACCUUUAGUCGAUUGCGGAUGGCUGGACUUAAAAAUAAUUUUAUUACAGAAAUAAAAGUGUUUCUUCAUGAAAAUUUGAUUUCUUUUAUGAUAAGAUUUCUGGUUACACUUUAUUUUUCAGCACGUGUAUUUACUUACCCGAGAAAGUACUGUAAUAUAAGAUAACUACAUGGGUGAAGGUUAGGUUUAGGGGUAGGUUAAUACCUAGUUAUCACCCAGUUAUUGUAGUUAUUGUAAUUACUAUUAUAAGUACAUAGUAUUUACAUGCAGAACAGAACUGUAAAAUACACUGCUUUACCAGAUUAUUCUUAAUAAGAAUGAAUAAAUAGAUACUACUACUACUAAUAAUAAUAAUAAUUCAAAAAAAAU
rnacentral:lncRNA from 1 species